CCUUCAUGAAGUCGGAAUUGCUAGUAAUGGCAGGUCAGCAUACUGCCGUGAAUACGUUCCCGGGCCUUGUACACACCGCCCGUCACACCAUGAGAGUUGAGAAUACCCGAAGUCCAUGUCAAAGUGGCCGAAGGUAGGCUUGAUGAUUGGGGUGAAGUCGUAACAAGGUAGC
rnacentral:rRNA from 1 species